rnacentral:rRNA from 1 species
UCAUUACAGAGAACAUCGCCCUCACGGGGGUGACUCUCCAACCCUAUGUUAUUAAAAUCUUUGUUGCUUUGGCGAGCCGCUUCGGUCACCGGCUCUUGCUGGUGUGCGCUCGCCAGAGGACCACAAUCUCUGUUUAUUUAGUGUCGUCUGAGUACUAUAUAAUAGUUAAAACUUUCAACAACGGAUCUCUUGGUUCUGGCAUCGAUGAAGAACGCAGCGAAAUGCGAUAAGUAAUGUGAAUUGCAGAAUUCAGUGAAUCAUCGAAUCUUUGAACGCACAUUGCGCCCCGUGGUAUUCCGCGGGGCAUGCCUGUUCGAGCGUCAGUACAACACUCAAGCUCUGCUUGGUAUUGGACCGCAUCAGUUUUGAUCGGUCUUAAAAUCAGUGGCGGAGCCAUCGUGCUCUAAGCGUAGUAAAUACUCCUCGCUACAGGGCCUCGGUGCGUGCUUGCCAGCAACUCUCAACUUUCUAAGUUUGACCUC